rnacentral:rRNA from 1 species
UUCUUUAUGGAGAGUUUGAUCCUGGCUCAGGAUGAACGCUGGCGGCGUGCUUAACACAUGCAAGUCGAACGUGAGGGUGUAGCAAUAUGCCUGAAAGUGGCGAACGGGUGAGUAACACGUAGAUGACCUGCCCUGGAG